CAUUGCCGUCUUGUUUGACUAAUGGAGGCGGAGGAGCAGAAAUAGGUUCCUCGACCACAUGUAAUGGAGGCGGAGGAGCAGAAAGAGGUUCCUCAACCACAUUUAAUGGAGGCGGAGGAGCAGAAAUAGGUUCAUUAACCACAUCUAAUGGAGGCGGAGGAGCAAAAAUAGGUUCAUUAACCACAUCUAAUGGAGGCGGAGGAGAAGAAGUAGGUUCCUCAAUCACAACUAGUGGAGGCGGAGGAGCAUAAGUAGGUUCCUCAACCACAACUAGUUGGCCGCAGACGCCAUGCAAAAGCUGGAUAACCACCAAGAGAAG
rnacentral:lncRNA from 1 species